rnacentral:sRNA from 1 species
ACACACGGUAACUGAUUGUCACACACAAA